AUUUUGGACAAUGGGGGAAACCCUGAUCCAGCCAUCCCGCGUGUAUGAUGAAGGCCUUNGGGUAGNANAGUACUUUUGGCAGAGANGAAAAGGUACCUCCUAAUACGAGGUACUGCUGACGGUACCUGCAGAAUAAGCACAGGCUAACUACGUGCCAGCAGCCGCGGUAAUACGUAGGGUGCAAGCGUUUAUCGGCAUUACUGGGCGUAAAGCGUGUGUAGGCGGUUCGGAAAGAAAGAGGUGAACUACCAUGGCUCAACCUUGGAACUGCAUUUUUAACUGCCGAGCUAGAGUAGGUCAGAGGGUGGUAGAAUUCCACGUGUAGCAGUGAAAUGCGUAGAUAUGUGGAGGAAUACCGAUGGCGAAGGCAGCCCCCUGGGAUAAUACUGACGCUCAGACACGAAAGCGUGGGGAGCAAACAG
rnacentral:rRNA from 1 species